rnacentral:misc_RNA from 1 species
UUUUAGAUUCCUAGGGAUUAAAUAGUUAUUCCAAUAAGAAACUUAAGUACUAGAAGGAUUUUUAAUCUAGAAGGGCUUAAGUUUGCUCAUGGUCACUCCACUUAUCAUUGAAUUUCAACAUAGUUACUAAACUUAGAUUUGUAUUAGAAAUAAGGUCACUAUUGCCAUAUCUUUCGUUUGAUAUUAUAGCUAAAUUGUUAAUGUGUUGACUAAGAAAUAGCUCAUGUUUAAUUCUAGAAUUAUAUUAGAAGAAAUUUACUUGGAUAUCAUACAAAAAAUUUGAAUGUUAAUUCUAUUGAAAUUUAGUAGCAUUAAACUUUUUGAAACAAAAUUUUAAUGUAAUUUUGCUCAUGCAUAUUGUUGUUUAAUGACCAUGUGUCCAACUGAGCCAAUAUAAAAUUUUUUUAAUGGAAGGACUAAACUUUAAUCAUUUUAAAAAUUUGGCACCACAAAAUUUGCUUGUGUAAUCAUUUUGCCAAAUAUGACAUGCUUUAUAAUUGACCUUAUAAUUUGUUAUUAUGAAUUGUUUUUUUCAUUUUGCUGUUCAGUUAUAUUAAUUUCCCAUUCUAAAUGGUAUGGUUGCUACUCUUUCCAAUACCGUAUGUUAUAAAUUCAUCAGACCAUCAAAUACAAUAUUUAGUAAUUCAACAAUUGAUUAUUUUUUAUGUAACGGCCAUAGAGAGGGCAUAAUAGUGGGUUUAAUGCAACUUGAGAAAGGGGGAAUAGGCAAGUAGAGUAUCUGUAUUGGUGCAUUUUGUUUGUUUUACAUUUGCAGUCUUUCACAAUUGACAAAGUCAUUCAAGGUGUAGUUGAUGCAGAACCUACUAUAGAUUUUAGGUCUAUUUAUUUUAAGAAGAAAUUUAGGAAGUAGAAUUUUUUUUUUUUUGGGCGGAAGUUUGAGUUUUAAGUUGGUUUAGUAGUCCUAAUUAGUGUUUGUUUAAUAUUUUCUUCUUGUUUUGGGAUUCCUAAUCCUAGUGGUAUUGUAGUAAUAAGAUUAAUAUUAUACUGUUAAUACCUAUGUCAUCUACGCAUUACAUUAGACUUUCAUUAUUGAUAAUUUGACAUUGAUAUUGAGAACUAACAGAAAUUUUGAGAAUUGCUCUCAUCCACUUUGAGUAUUCUAUUGUGUUCUACAUCACUUGUCCAGAAGGGAAGUGAGCUUCUUGGUUGUUGGGGCUUUUUAGUUUUGAGGUUAAGAGAUUUGAAAGAUUAUAAUAGUUGUCAUUGAUGGGGAAUUUUGAGGGACAACUCAGUGAUAGCAUAUAAAAGACAGUAAUCAUGUUAAGCAGCAUUGCCUUUUAUUCAUGUGUGAAUUUAUAAUUUCAUGUACUCAAGUUUGACUUACACUAUUACAGCAAGUAGUAUCAAAGUUAUUAUGGUCCCAACAAGUGGUAUCAAUGCAUACAACACAUUACAAGUAUAUUAACUUGCAAAGAAUAUUACAAUCAAGUCCCUUAGAUAUCAUAGACGCAAACAUAAGGUUUGAUCUGACAAGUACGCCCCCUAACCCCAACUUAUUAUUAACAUCAUCAUCAUCACCUUCAUGAAAUUUAACGGCUUGAGUUGAUCAUAAAGGGAGGCACUUUAAGCAUGUAGAAUGGAAACGAGAAACUUGGAACAUAGUAUUAUAUCAAGCAAUUAACUAACUGCAAAGCAUCACUGUCAGUAGAACUACCACAUAAGAAAAUGAAUUUAAAUGACCCCUCAGCAUCUUGUCUCCUUGCAUAUUUGAUUAGUAGAGGUCCUAAGGAAUGCAUGGCCACAACAUAGUCCCAUGACAGCUUAUCAUAAAAGAAAGAACUCCCAACAACUAGAACCACCACAUCAUCCUCACUGAAUCCAUUGUCUGUCCUUACUUGAUGCUUGGCAUGGGUCUUACUGUAGCUUUCAGCAGCCCACACAUCUAUUGGCGAUCCAGGAAUCACAAAGAAGUUUCCAGUGUCAAGCAGACUAUAUAGCAUCGGCAUAGUGAAAUCUGGAAUACAACAACAUUAGCCCUCUUAAAUGUUCUUCUCCAAUACUAAAUGAGAUAGUCCCAGCCCAUUUCCUCAUAUACCGAAAGACAAUUUGCAAGGGUAUCUUCUUGGAUUAUCCAUAUUAGUGGUACUGAACAAAAAGUCUCCUGCAUAAGGCUGCAUAAAUAUAAAACUCACUGAUCAUAGCAAAAAUACACAUCUUCAUACACAAAAACCUGUUGAGGGUCAAGGGGAAGAGAGAGAUUUGAUAAAAACACUUACAGGCAAUUUGACUUUGACCAUAGUUUAUCAAUCAAAUUUUCCAACAUCCCUUCAGCAUCACCUUUCUUUUACAGCUACCAUCAAAUUUUCUCAUAAAUCAAACUAAUUAUAUUUUCUGAGAAUAUAUGAUGUACUUAAUGGCAAUAAUUUCACAAAUUAUCAGGACAACUCCUAAAACAUCUUUAUGUUUCCCUUUAGGUGUAAAAAUACCUUGAACUCCAUACCCUAAAUAAUGGUCAAUUCCAACUCCAGCAAACAUAAGUAACAACCAGGCAUAGUACCUCAAUCCAAGUACUCAUGAGGACACACAACAUCUCACAUGAUUUUAUGUUUCGAAAAUUUUAUUACAACCAAGGAACUAAAAUUCUUUGUUUGCCACUUGUGCUUUAAUUUUAUAUACAAAGCAAAGGCAUCAAAAUAUGCAGCACACACAUAUAACCACAUGAAAUAUAAUUUGUUUGAUAGAUGUCCUAAAAGGUAUAAACAAUAAGAUAAGAAUAUCAAACACAAUCCACCAAGGAAAUUAACCAAAGGAACGAUUGAUUAAAAUUAUAAACCUUAGUGAGUUACAUAAAGAAUCAGAUCUACCCACCUUGAAAUGGCCUCAUUGGCUUCAAGUGAAUCAACAAUAACACCUUCAAAAAUUGACCAGUCAAUAUGACCAUAUUGCUCUGGUUGUAAAAUUGAUAUCUGAAAACCCAUUUGAUCCCACUCUGAUUGUGCUUUCACAUUCUCUAUGGCAUAAAUCUUAAGCAUAUAACCAAGUUUCUGCAAAUUCUUCAUCACAGUAGCCAACAGCAGUGAUUGUGGAUCUUUCUUCAUGCUUCCUAAGAUCACGGCAAGCCUAGGAGGCCGAAGCCCCACUCUCCUCUGCAAUCUCAAUUGAUCAAGCCCAUGCCCCUCCAAAAGCCGCAACGAUCUUCUCCCUGGCAAGAAUUUGAAGGUGCUCCCCAACCUCAAUCCCUCUCUAAUCCACUUCCGGUCCUCACUGCACCCCUGACUAAACACCAUCGAGGUGAUCGAGCUCUUUAAUACUAUGGACGCCAUUGCAAAAGCAAAAACCGCAAAGAAAAUCACAAAGUAAAGCAAAUACGCGCCUCUAAACGGAAACCAAAAGAGAAAGCCCUUGCAGUUGCUUCGGUUGGUGUUAUGGUGCCAUCGGCUAGGCAAAGAAGGACGAUGUACAGAGGAUUUGGCAGCUCUGUUCUGAUUACUAGCAGUGGCAGUGGAGAUAUGGCAAGGGUUUCGCUUAAAGCGAAAACGGUCACGGAUCAAGUGGCAACCUUGGUCAUUGCUGUUGUUGUUGUUGUUGUUUCCAUUGCCGCCAUUAGCGACGGCGUUGGUGGCAGAGGAGGAGGAGGUAGUAGAGGAUACGGUGGUGGUGGUAGCGGUAGCGGCUUCGUCGAUUUGGGAAGGAGAAGUAUUUCGGCCCAUAGAGAAGGCAGAUUUUCCCAGGAAAGUGAGGGAAAUUUCGACAUAUAGAAACUGGGAAUGUUAUUAGAUGCGGUAGGAUCACUGCAUUUUAGUUAUCGUUCGUCAACUUGAAUGCGAGCAAGAAAGAUUGUGA